CCUCCGAAGGAGCCAAAGUUCAGCUGCCCAAGGGCUCUCAGAAUCCUGCCCUGCGGGGAACCAAACCCACUGAAGACUCCCAAGUAGGCCGCUCACCAGCAGGAAACGCCUAGUGAGCAGCACUAGGCCCAGCAGCAACAAAUAGAUGCCCACAGCAAUGAAGACGAUGGCAGGGAUGGGAAGCAGCAAGGGAGGGCUGCUGCCAGAAGCCGAAGCCACAUUCCACGGGCUGGAGGAGGCCUGGGCAAGCACAGGAGAAAGAGGUGACCAAGAGAACCUUCUGAGAAGUAUUGCUCCUCUUUGUAGAAGACUUCUCUACACAGAUCUCUUGUACCUGACUGGUGUGACUACUUUUUCAACCCUCAUUGCUGGCCCCUCCUUCAACUUGCCCCUUUCCACACCAGUUGCCAUGUAUCUCCAUUAGUGGCUCCCAAGGGCUCAGGGACAAAGGACACCCCCCACCCUACUAUAGGCCUGCCUACUUCGCUCUCCUCCCCCUCUAUGCUUAGGUCACACGGAUGUCUAAGCAGUUCCCGUCCUCUCCAUCCUAGGCAGGUGCUACUUGCUGCUCUCUGGAUUACUACUAAACCCUUUAUCUUGCCAGGGAUCCCCCAAACA